rnacentral:rRNA from 1 species
CACGUAGGGGGCGAGCGUUAUCCGGAAUCAUUGGGCGUAAAGGGAGCGCAGGCGGCUUUGCAAGUCUGAUGUGAAAGGCCGGGGCUCAACCCCGGGACUGCAUUGGAAACUGUAAAGCUAGAGUGCCGGAGAGGUAAGCGGAAUUCCUAGUGUAGCGGUGAAAUGCGUAGAUAUUAGGAGGAACACCAGUGGCGAAGGCGGCUUACUGGACGGCAACUGACGCUGAGGCUCGAAAGCGUGGGGAGCAAACAGG